UAUGUAGGUGGCAAGCGUUAUCCGGAAUUAUUGGGCGUAAAGAGCGCGCAGGUGGUUGAUUAAGUCUGAUGUGAAAGCCCACGGCUUAACCGUGGAGGGUCAUUGGAAACUGGUCGACUUGAGUGCAGAAGAGGGAAGUGGAAUUCCAUGUGUAGCGGUGAAAUGCGUAGAUAUUAGGAGGAACACCAGUAGCGAAGGCGGCUCUCUGGACUGUAACUGACGCUGAGGCACGAAAGCGUGGGGAGCAAACAGGAUUAGAUA
rnacentral:rRNA from 1 species